rnacentral:rRNA from 1 species
UAGGGAAUAUUGGGCAAUGCCCGCAAGGGUGACCCAGCCAUGCCGCGUGCAGGAAGAAGGCCUUCUGGGUUGUAAACUGCUUUUGGAAGGGAACAAAAUGGGCAUGCGUGCCAACUUGAGUGUACCUUCAGAAUAAGCACCGGCUAACUCCGUGCCAGCCGCCGCGGUAAUACGGAGGGUGCAAGCGUUGUCCGGAUUUAUUGGGUUUAAAGGGUGCGUAGGCGGCUUAUUAAGUCAGGGGUGAAAGACUAUUGCUUAACAAUGGCAGUGCCUUUGAUACUGAUAGGCUUGAGUACAGCUGAGGCAGAUGGAACGGGUGGUGUAGCGGUGAAAUGCAUAGAUACCAUCCAGAACACCGAUUGCGAAGGCAGUCUGCUAAACUGUAACUGACGCUGAGGCACGAAAGCGUGGGGAUCGAA